rnacentral:rRNA from 1 species
CGGUCCCUAUCCGUCGCGGGCGUAGGAAAUUUGAGAGGAGCUGUCCUUAGUACGAGAGGACCGGGAUGGACUGACCUCUGGUGUACCAGUUGUUCCGCCAGGAGCACAGCUGGGUAGCUAAGUCGGGAAUGGAUAAACGCUGAAAGCAUCUAAGCGUGAAGCCAACCUCAAGAUGAGAUUUCCCAUAGCGUAAGCUAGUAAGAUCCCUUGAAGAACACAAGGUUGAUAGGUCGGGGGUGUAAGCAUGGUAACAUGUUCAGCUGACCGAUACUAAUAGAUCGAGGGCUUGACCAAAU